GAGAAUGUAGAAUCGUCUUUGGAGCGGACCUGAGAGUGGCAAGCAUAAGGGACGAAGACGGGGAAACAUGUCGGACGCGAUCAUACCAGCACUAAAGCACCGGAUCCCAUCAGAACUCCGAAGUUAAGCGUGCUUGGGCGAGAGUAGUACUAGGAUGGGUGACCUCCUGGGAAGUCCUCGUGUUGCAUUCCCUUUUUAAUUAUUUUUUGCGCCUUGUGACAAACAUAUCGCACAUGCGCGAUAUAUAUUAAUCCCGUUAUAUUAUUUUUGACGUUUGCGACAUGUUUAAGCUCGAUGCUCAUUGCUCGCGCGUCUUGGGGCGGCUUUGUGGCGCGAAGAGCGCGUUCUGAAAGGAGUGGAAAAAACUCGUGUUGCUGCGGUAUGGAGGGAGGGGUGGAAACCAUGGAAAACCCGUCUCCGUGAUUGAGCGUGAGAGUAAGUAGUAUAGGACAUUAUCCAUUGUUAGGGAAGAGUUGUAAUGGUAGUGAGAAUGUAGAAUCGUCUUUGGAGCGGACCUGGGAGUUGCAAGCAUAAGGGACAAAGACGGGGAAACAUGUCGGAUGUGAUCAUACCAGCACUAAAGCACCGGAUCCCAUCAGAACUCCGAAGUUAAGCGUGCUUGGGCGAGAGUAGUACUAGCAUGGGUGACCUCCUGGGAAGUCCUCAUGUUGCAUUCCCUUUUUAAUUAUUUUUUGCGCCUUGUGACAAACAUAUCGCACGUGCGCGAUAUAUAUUAAUCCCGUUAUAUUAUUUUUGACAUUUGCGA
rnacentral:lncRNA from 1 species